UAGGGAAUCUUCGGAAAUGGACGAAAGUCUGACCGAGCAACGCCGCGUGAGUGAAGAAGGUUUUCGGAUCGUAAAACUCUGUUGUUAGAGAAGAACAAGGACGUUAGUAACUGAACGUCCCCUGACGGUAUCUAACCAGAAAGCCACGGCUAACUACGUGCCAGCAGCCGCGGUAAUACGUAGGUGGCAAGCGUUGUCCGGAUUUAUUGGGCGUAAAGCGAGCGCAGGCGGUUUCUUAAGUCUGAUGUGAAAGCCCCCGGCUCAACCGGGGAGGGUCAUUGGAAACUGGGAGACUUGAGUGCAGAAGAGGAGAGUGGAAUUCCAUGUGUAGCGGUGAAAUGCGUAGAUAUAUGGAGGAACACCAGUGGCGAAGGCGGCUCUCUGGUCUGUAACUGACGCUGAGGCUCGAAAGGGUGGGGAGCAAACAGG
rnacentral:rRNA from 1 species